rnacentral:rRNA from 1 species
CCACASGACUCUCGGCAACGGAUAUCUCGGCUCUCGCAUCGAUGAAGAACGUAGCAAAAUGCGAUACCUGGUGUGAAUUGCAGAAUCCCGCGAACCAUCGAGUUUUUGAACGCAAGUUGCGCCCGAGGCCUUCUGGUUGAGGGCACGUCUGCCUGGGCGUCACGC